rnacentral:rRNA from 1 species
AUUGAACGCUGGCGGCAGGCUUAACACAUGCAAGUCGAGCGGAGAUGAGGUGCUUGCACCUUAUCUUAGCGGCGGACGGGUGAGUAAUGCUUAGGAAUCUGCCUAUUAGUGGGGGACAACAUUCCGAAAGGAAUGCUAAUACCGCAUACGUCCUACGGGAGAAAGCAGGGGAUCUUCGGACCUUGCGCUAAUAGAUGAGCCUAAGUCGGAUUAGCUAGGUGGUGGGGUAAAGGCCUACCAAGGCGACGAUCUGUAGCGGGUCUGAGAGGAUGGUCCGCCACACUGGGACUGAGACACGGCCCAGACUCCUACGGGAGGCAGCAGUGGGGAAUAUUGGACAAUGGGGGAAACCCUGAUCCAGCCAUGCCGCGUGUGUGAAGAAGGCCUUAUGGUUGUAAAGCACUUUAAGCGAGGAGGAGGCUACUGAGACUAAUACUCUUGGAUAGUGGACGUUACUCGCAGAAUAAGCACCGGCUAACUCUGUGCCAGCCGCCGCAGUAA